GGGGAUGUCAAGGCAUCGCCUGGAAGUAGAACCUUACAAAUCAAGCAGACCUGAUAUAAGUCUUAAAACUGAAUCAAAACUUAAAUGCAACAGCAUUCGAAACUGCUGAUGUAGAUGUAAACGCUUACGCUUUUGCGUAAAAACGAGAUAUUUACAACUAGGAAUUAUCCUUUCAGCGGGUUAGCCAAUUUGGUUUUUGGAUCCAAAGGCUAGCUUCAACCAAAACCGAAAGUUCUUUUGCAACUUUAUGCAAGAAAUCAUUGUGCGGGCAAUUAAAACUCUUGGUCUGUUUGCCCACAUUUAUUAAAAGGCCAAUAAGCUUGUAACAAAUUUGUUUGAAGAAACUUUUAGCACGGGGGUUCGAUUCCCCCCAUCUCCACCA
rnacentral:tmRNA from 2 species